rnacentral:rRNA from 1 species
AUGGACUUGGAAAAGUCUGGUCGGAUUCGACGUAGUCGGAUCCGAGUCGAGAUAAGGUCCGAGUCGGACAGACCCAACUAUGAGACGUCGCGAUAUGUCAUCUGUGAGUCUCUAGUACAACAUACGUUCUAUGUCCUAAGACCUGAGCUGACGCAUGUACUCGGGAUGGUGACAUACCUGCUUUGGGCCGACCAAACGCUACUCCGUAACUGGGUAGUUACAAAGGUAGGUUUCGGGCUUGUCCAGACCCAUGCUGCGAGACGUGGUCGAGCAAGAUGGGAUUUGCCCCUCCGAUCAGGAGAGAUAUACUCUGGGCCCCUCGUGUGA